rnacentral:pre_miRNA from 1 species
AUUUAUAUCACCUGGAGAUCUUGUUAAAAUGCAGGUUCUGAUUUAGUAGAUAUGGCGUGAGCCUGAGAAUUCUGUAUUUUUAACAAGCUCCUAAGUGGUGCUGAU